rfam:Brassica napus, WGS project CCCW01000000 data, contig: 20596
ACGACCUUACUUGAACAGGAUCUGUUCUAUAGGCUCGUACCUCUGUAUCCUUGAUUUCUAAGGAGACAGUCCCCAAACCCUGGUUGAUGAAUCAUGGCUGUGCGAUUUGAGUGUGAUUAACGGCCUGCGAUUGUCCUCGGACUCUCUUAGCUGUAGAGGAUCGCUACCUAGACUGGCUUGACCUCCUAGGGUGGUCGCAUGGUUGUCUGACAGGUU